CUUAGCGAGGCCAUGGGGGAAAAAGUCUAACUGGCGGAACUCCUGGGAACUGGGGCGAUGGGCUCUUAGUAUCGGAGGAUUGGAGCCAUCUGAUUUUUACCUGAAAUUCCUUAGUCUCUCCUGUGUUGGGGAAAUGGUCACCUUGCCUUCAGGGACCUGGGCUUUCAGCUGUCCAUACCUGGCCCUGGUUGAUGGCGGCAUGCUGGGCAGUGCACGUGAAGACGCACAUGAGACCGGGACUUGCUGUGUUGCCCAGGCUGGUCUUGAACUCCUGGUCUUAAGCAAUCAUACUGCUUUGGCCACCCAAAGCACUGGGAUUACAGGCGUGAACCACCACACCCAGCUCUUAAAACCACAGUAUUUCUAGCCCCGCAGCAGUUCCCGAGACCUUGUGCCUCCUUCCCCGACGCCGCCUGCUCACCGGUGCCCUCGGGCAGGCUCAGGAUGUCCUCGCCCUGCACCCAGCGGUAGCACGGGAAGGCCACCUCCGCGCAGGCUCCAGGGCCCUGCACCGUGAUGCGGUCGCAGAACCACGCGUCGUCCACCAGCCAGUGGUGCUUGCGCAGCCUCACGAACUGCAGGAGCCCCAAGUCCUCUGCAACGUCAUGAUCAAACUCCUCCUCCUGUGCAGGCCGGACCCAGGCCAGACUUAGUAGGAGGGACCCGACUGAGGCCGUUUCGAGGACAGAGCCGCGCUCCUGUGCAACCUCAGUUUCUCAGGGCCUCCAAAGACAGCAUCGCCUCGUUCCCGCCCCCGCACAACCUGCUCUUUGGGUCUCAGACGCCCGGAGUCGGGUGGAGGACGAGGGCCCGCAGCGCCUGGAGCUGAUGCUGGAGCAGCAUCGCCCACGUGGGUCCCAUUAACUGAGCUCUCCCCGCGCCGGUUCUUGGAGGAGCUUCACGUCUGACCUCUGGCCUCAUACUUACAUUGGCUCUGGGUCACUGGGAGAAGGAGCUGGGGGCUGCCGGGACCAGGGGCGGGAAAGGGAGAUGGGGUUGAGCCCAGCCCGGGAUCCCAGCUGCGGACCCUGUCCCUAAUCUUGCCCACCUCGUCCCAGCUUCGUGGAAGUCCCAGUCCGCGAGGUCGCGCUGUCACCUCGCCCCCAGCCUCCCGCCCUCCCGCCGCGAGCCCAGCUCGGCCCGGGCCUGGGCCCGGGGUCCCCGCUGCCCUAGCUCCCCU
rnacentral:lncRNA from 1 species